rnacentral:rRNA from 1 species
AACGAACGCUGGCGGCAGGCUUAACACAUGCAAGUCGAACGGUUGCAGCAAUGCAGCAGUGGCAGACGGGUGAGUAACACGUGGGAACCUUCCUAGGGGUACGGAACAACUCAGGGAAACUUGAGCUAAUACCGUAUACGUCCGUGAGGAGAAAGAUUUAUCGCCCUUAGACGGGCCCGCGUCGGAUUAGCUAGUUGGUGGGGUAACGGCCUACCAAGGCGACGAUCCGUAGCUGAUCUUAGAGGAUGAUCAGCCACACUGGGACUGAGACAUGGCCCAGACUCCUACGGGAGGCAGCAGUGGGGAAUCUUGGACAAUGGGCGCAAGCCUGGUCCAGCCAUGCCGCGUGAGUGAAGAAGGUCUUCGGAUUGUAAAGCUCUUUUGCCAGGGACGAUAAUGACGGUACCUGGAGAAUAAGCCCCGGCAAACUUCGUGCCAGCAGCCGCCGUAG